rnacentral:misc_RNA from 1 species
ACUUGCCUCUCACUCCCAGUUCCUCAUCGUUCUGGUAUCGUCUCCUAGCAGAGAAGGCGAGGUGAAGACCCCGAGCCAUGUCCCGAUCAUAAAGAGCUCUCCUUCUAGGAUCCGAGAGAGUCUCAUAAGCCUCCUGAACCUGAAUAAACCUCUGGGUGUACUCCUCAACCUGAUCCGGCGGCGACACGUCAGGGUGGUACUUCCUGGCGAGCUGCUUAUAAGCCUGCUUUAUCUCAAUCAAGGUACCGGACUCAGUAAUUCCCAGCAGCUCAUAGAAGCUCAUGUCGGCGGCGAUUCUUUCCUGCACAGCAGCCUUCGUUUUGAACGACGCGCGUGGGAAACGUGUAACUGGCUUAAAGCGGAGAAUUGGGUCCGACUUGGACGUUACGGUGGGAGAGGCAACAGUGGAGGAGAAGCAGAAGCGAGAGGCAUCGCUUCCAGGGAUGAUUAAGCCAUAGCUACGCAUCUCUCUCUGUUUCUUUUAAGUGGGUUUGUGUAAAAGCUUUCUGUGGUUUCGCACACAGCUCUGUUGGAUUAGAAGAUGAUAUGAAGGGAGGAGAAAGGGAUAGCUCGAGCUGUGGUGAGGACUACAACAUCUAAGAUGUGGAUAUUUAUAUAGUCCUAUUGUUAUUUGCCACUUGUCAAUCUAACAAUGGUUUUCAUUUAAUUAUUUUCAGAAAAUUAUUUAUUAUUUGGGAAAAAAAAUUCUGUAAAUUGACAAUUCUUUUUUUUAAAGAAUUGAUAUUUUGUAUAAUUUAUUUAUUUAAAAUAAGACACUUUUAUUGUUAAAUAAUUUAAUUUUUUAAUAUCUUUUAUAAAUUGAAUAAGGAAAAAUAUUCUUAAAAAAAUAAAACUUUCUCUUUUGAAAUGGUGUGUGUACAUAAUAUGCAGGCUGAUGUGAAAAAAGAAAAAAAUAAUCAACAUUUUAUUAAAAAAACUAAAAAUAUUUUAAAUAUUAAAAAGUAAUUAAAAUUUUAUUAUAUUAAAUUUAAUUUUAUAUAAAAUUUUAAAAUUAUUUAAUUAAUAUAUUUGAAUAAUUAUUUCUUAGUUACUAAUAAUUUUUGAAACACAUCAUAUAUGUCACGACUCAACCUAUGGGCUGGACCGGCACUAGGACCUGGGCC